AACGAACGCUGGCGGCAGGCCUAACACAUGCAAGUCGAACGGACGUAGCAAUACGUUAGUGGCAGACGGGUGAGGAACACGUGGGAACAUACCCUUUGGUUCGGAAUAACUCAGGGAAACUUGAGCUAAUACCGGAUAAGUCGGCAACGAGAAAGAUUCAUCGCCGAAGGAUUGGCCCGCGUCCGAUUAGCUAGUUGGUGAGGUAAUGGCUCACCAAGGCGACGAUCCGUAGCUGGUCUGAGAGGACGAUCAGCCACACUGGGACUGAGACACGGCCCAGACUCCUACGGGAGGCAG
rnacentral:rRNA from 1 species